UGUUACGGCCAUAUGCACCAGAAAGCACUGGAUCCCGUCCGAUCUCCAAAGUUAAGCUGGUGACAGCCCAGUCAGUACUACGGUCGGUGACGACGUGGGAAUACUGGGUGCUGUAACGC
rnacentral:rRNA from 1 species